rnacentral:rRNA from 1 species
AUGAGAGUCUGGCCUGCCCACUGAUAUUAUAUUAAAGGGCCGCGGUAUUUUGACCGUGCGAAGGUAGCAUAAUCAUUAGUCUUUUAAUGUGGAGGCUUGUAUGAAUGGUUGGACAAAAAGUUAACUGUCUCGUUUAUAAAAAUUGAAUUUAACUUUUAAGUGAAAAGGCUUAAAUGAACUGAGGGGACGAUAAGACCCUAUAAAGCUUUACAAUAAAUUAAUUAAAUUAUAAAUGUAUUAGUUUAACUUAAUUUAAUUAGUGUUUGUUUCGUUGGGGCGACGAGAAUAUAAAUUAUAUAACUGUUCUUUUAGAUAAAUAACAAGGUUAAUUGGAGGAAGAUUGAUCCUUUAAUAAAGAUUAAAAGAUUAAGUUACUUUAGGGAUAGACAGCGUAAUCUUCUUUGAGAGUCCAUAUCGACAAGAAGGGUUG